rnacentral:rRNA from 1 species
UACGAAGGGGGCUAGCGUUAUUCGGAAUCACUGGGCGUAAAGCGCACGUAGGCGGACUCUUAAGUCAGGGGUGAAAUCCUGGAGCUCAACUCCAGAACUGCCUUUGAUACUGGGAGUCUUGAGUUCGGGAGAGGUGAGUGGAACUGCGAGUGUAGAGGUGAAAUUCGUAGAUAUUCGCAAGAACACCAGUGGCGAAGGCGGCUCACUGGCCCGAUACUGACGCUGAGGUGCGAAAGCGUGGGGAGCAAACAGG